rnacentral:rRNA from 1 species
GGGCUCGCACAAGCGGUGGAGCAUGUGGUUUAAUUCGAUGAUACGCGAGGAACCUUACCAGGGCUUAAAUGUAAGUUGCAUAAGCUAGAGAUAGCUUUUUCUUCGGACUACUUACAAGGUGCUGCAUGGUUGUCGUCAGCUCGUGCCGUGAGGUGUCAGGUUAAGUCCUAUAACGAGCGCAACCCCUGUUGUUAGUUGCCAUCGAGUAAUGUCGGGGAACUCUAACAAAGACUGCCGGUGCAAAACCGUGAGGAAGGUGGGGAUGACGUCAAAUCAUCACGGCCCUUACGUCCUGGCUACACACGUGCUACAAUGGCCGGUACAGAGAGCAGCCACUACGCGAGUAGGAG